rnacentral:rRNA from 1 species
AGGAUUAGAUACCCUGGUAGUCCACGCCGUAAACGAUGAGUGCUAAGUGUUGGAGGGUUUCCGCCCUUCAGUGCUGCAGCUAACGCAUUAAGCACUCCGCCUGGGGAGUACGACCGCAAGGUUGAAACUCAAAGGAAUUGACGGGGGCCCGCACAAGCGGUGGAGCAUGUGGUUUAAUUCGAAGCAACGCGAAGAACCUUACCAGGUCUUGACAUCCUUUGACCACUCUAGAGAUAGAGCUUCCCCUUCGGGGGCAAAGUGACAGGUGGUGCAUGGUUGUCGUCAGCUCGUGUCGUGAGAUGUUGGGUUAAGUCCCGCAACGAGCGCAACCCUUAUUGUUAGUUGCCAUCAUUNAGUUGGGCACUCUAGCAAGACUGCCGGUGACAAACCGGAGGAAGGUGGGGAUGACGUCAAAUCAUCAUGCCCCUUAUGACCUGGGCUACACACGUGCUACAAUGGGAAGUACAACGAGUUGCGAAGUCGCGAGGCUAAGCUAAUCUCUUAAAGCUUCUCUCAGUUCGGAUUGCA